CUCGAGGCCAGAUCUUUCCGGUUGAUCCCGCCGGACCUGACUGCUAUCGGAUUGAUACUAAGCCAUGCGAGUCUUUGUAGCAAUACAAGGCAGACGGCUCAGUAACACGUAGUCAAUCUACCCUAUGGACGGGGAUAACCUCGGGAAACUGAGAAUAAUACCCGAUAGAUCAUUAUGCCUGGAAUGGUUUAUGGUCGAAAUGAUUUAUCGCCGUAGGAUGGGACUGCGGUCUAUCAGCUUGUUGGUGAGGUAAUGGCCCACCAAGGCUAUAACAGAUACGGGCUCUGAGAGGAGAAGCCCGGAGAUGGGUACUGAGACACGGACCCAGGCCCUAUGGGGCGCAGCAGGCGAGAAAACUUUGCAAUGUGCGAAAGCACGACAAGGUUAAUCCGAGUGCUUUCUGCUAAAGAAAUCUUUUGUCAGUCCUAAAAACACUGAUGAAUAAGGGGUGGGCAAGUUCUGGUGUCAGCCGCCGCGGUAAAACCAGCACCUCAAGUGGUCAGGAGGAUUAUUGGGCCUAAAGCAUCCGUAGCCGGCCGUGUAAGUUUUCGGUUAAA
rnacentral:rRNA from 1 species